GAACGGGUGAGUAACACGUGGGUGAUCUGCCCUGCACUUUGGGAUAAGCCUGGGAAACUGGGUCUAAUACCGAAUAGGACCACGCGCUUCAUGGUGUGUGGUGGAAAGCUUUUGCGGUGUGGGAUGGGCCCGCGGCCUAUCAGCUUGUUGGUGGGGUAAUGGCCUACCAAGGCGACGACGGGUAGCCGGCCUGAGAGGGUGACCGGCCACACUGGGACUGAGAUACGGCCCAGACUCCUACGGGAGGCAGCAGUGGGGAAUAUUGCACAAUGGGCGCAAGCCUGAUGCAGCGACGCCGCGUGAGGGAUGACGGCCUUCGGGUUGUAAACCUCCUUCAAUAGGGACGAAGCGCAAGUGACGGUACCUAUAGAAGAAGCACCGGCCAACUACGUGCCAGCAGCCGCGGUAAUACGUAGGGUGCGAGCGUUGUCCGGAAUUACUGGGCGUAAAGAGCUCGUAGGUGGUUUGUCGCGUUGUUCGUGAAAACUCACAGCUUAACUGUGGGCGUGCGGGCGAUACGGGCAGACUAGAGUACUGCAGGGGAGACUGGAAUUCCUGGUGUAGCGGUGGAAUGCGCAGAUAUCAGGAGGAACACCGGUGGCGAAGGCGGGUCUCUGGGCAGUAACUGACGCUGAGGAGCGAAAGCGUGGGGAGCGAACAGGAUUAGAUACCCUGGUAGUCCACGCCGUAAACGGUGGGUACUAGGUGUGGGUUCCUUCCUUGGGAUCCGUGCCGUAGCUAACGCAUUAAGUACCCCGCCUGGGGAGUACGGCCGCAAGGCUAAAACUCAAAGGAAUUGACGGGGGCCCGCACAAGCGGCGGAGCAUGUGGAUUAAUUCGAUGCAA
rnacentral:rRNA from 1 species